CUUUUAUAGGUCUAUGGACAUGAUCAAAAUCGAAAGUAGGAUUGUCCCAACAAAAACAUUUUUUAAUCUGGUAUGAUCCGAACUUUCCUUAUAUUAAUAUGACCCGAUAAUUACGGGUACUGGUGUUGUUUCUGUUGGUAUCAAUAUUAUCAUGAGAAUGUAACACCGGGAAGAGAAAGAAAGAAGAAGAAGAAAGAAAUGACAGAAAAUCUUGUGUGUUAGAAUGGGAAAAUAUUCUGUGUUGUUCCUCAUUUUACAGUUAUUAAAAAUAACUCAAGUUGAGACAUUCACUAAACCUUGUAAUGCAUCCCUGCUGACAGUUUCCAUUGUUACCCGUUGUCCCACAGACGAAGCAUCUUAUAACAUAUCUGCCCGCCAAAAGAACUGUUCAUCAUUGGUGGAUAGCAGCAGUUGUGAAUCCUUCGAAUACCAUUGUGUUUUGAGCGAAGAUCUCAAUAGUGCCAUUGAAGUAUGUGCGCCAUCAUUUUUUAUAAUAGGUAUGUUGAGAACACUUAC